ACUCAAAGGAAUUGACGGGGGCCCGCACAAGCAGCGGAGCGUGUGGUUUAAUUCGAUGCAACGCGCAGAACCUUACCUAGGCUUGACAUGCACGUGGUACCGAUCUGAAAGGGGAGGGACCCGCGAGGGAGCGUGCACAGAUGCUGCAUGGCUGUCGUCAGCUCGUGCCGUGAGGUGUUGGGUUAAGUCCCGCAACGAGCGCAACCCUUGCCCCUAGUUAUCGUGUCUAGGGGGACCGCCGGUACAAACCGGAGGAAGGUGGGGAUGACGUCAAGUCAGCACGGCUCUUACGUCUAGGGCUACACACACGCUACAAUGGCCGGUACAACGGGCGGCGAACGCGCGAGCGGGAGCUAAUCCCAGCAAAGCCGGUCUCAGUUCGGAUCGCAGGCUGCAACCCGCCUGCGUGAAGUCGGAGUUGCUAGUAACCGCUGGUCAGCACACAGCGGUGAAUACGUUCCCGGGCCUUGCACACACCGCCCGU
rnacentral:rRNA from 1 species